rnacentral:rRNA from 1 species
CGCCCUUCAGAGGGGGACAACAGUUGGAAACGACUGCUAAUACCGCAUACGAUCUAACCUCGGCAUCGAGGAAAGAUGAAAGGUGGCCUCUACAUGUAAGCUAUCACUGAAGGAGGGGAUUGCGUCUGAUUAGCUAGUUGGAGGGGUAACGGCCCACCAAGGCGAUGAUCAGUAGCCGGUCUGAGAGGAUGAACGGCCACAUUGGGACUGAGACACGGCCCAG